CCUAAGAGAAUGUACGCUUUGCAAAUUCUAAUGCGCAAUUUAUUUCUCGGGCCAUCCGUCCUCCAAUUACAAUUAAAUGUAGAACCCACAUAAGUCUACCGCAUAGUCAGCGGAUACUUUCGUUUCAACUCCCUGAGGGUGUUUUUCUUUCAUUGGAUCAGUAGAAGGAAAGAGUGAGCGAAACGAACUAAAAUGGGGUCAAUCGCAAAGAAUGGAUUAGAACAGUAUUUGAUACAACUCCAACAACACCCUUUGAGAACCAAGGUCUUAACCUUCUUGUAAUGUUAUUUUUUUUAAAGAAUUUUUGUAUUCAUGGGCUUGAUUGUUUCUGGGUAUUUAGGAAUUUUAAUUAUUCAAGAAAUAUUGAAUUCGGAUUUUGCAGAUGAUAACUGCAGGAACGCUGUCAGCGAUCAGUGAUAUAGUGGCGCAGAAGCUCUCUGGUAUUCAAAAGCUUCAACUCAGACGCCUUCUUCUCAAAGUGGUAAUGUUAUACAUUUUUCUCCUUUCUUUAUUUAUGUAUAAUUAAACUGCAGACAUAUAUGUUGGCAUAUUACACAGCAGUUUCUACUGUAUUGAGGGUUGAAUCCAUGAUUUCUGCCCCUCAAUCUUAUUUGUCUAAAUUUUUUUGAUUUGAUCCCAUUCUUUCUUGUGAAUUGUCUUUCCUGAAAAUAACACUCUAAUUGUUUUCCCCUCGUGUACUAAUUUUAUAUGUGAAUAAUUUUCUGUAUUGGCAUAGAUUGAAAGGCUUGAUUAAGUAAGUAAUCCAAAGCCUAGACAGUAGAGUAGAGUAGAUUUGAACAUAUUUUUGUUCUUUAAUACUGUUCAGUCUGUAUGAAUCCUAAAUUCCAUGAUUGUUGUGUGAAAGGUGGGGGUAGGUAACAUAAAUUUAAGGGGUAAUAAGUUAAUAAAUUUAUUAGAGAUUUAUUCAUGAUAAGAUAAGGUCUCUAAUAACUCGUUAAGGGGAGUCUCUGUAAUUUCUAGAAGAGAAGAAGCCCCUUAUAAUUGUAGAUAUGCUAUCAAUUUUCAAGAGUCAUAUUAGAUCAAUUGUCGGUUUGCAAAAAAUUGAUGUCUAACCCACUUUUCUUUUAUUGAAAUCUCAUUGAAACAGAAACGAAUUAGAGUGUCCAGUGACUCUGCUCAGUAGGAAGAACGAAAAGAAAUUGCAAAGUAACAUAUUCUUUUUGGCCACAUUGGCAAAACACGUGCAAUUAGAAACACUAAAAUUUGGGAGGAAAGAAAAGAACAUCCUUUAACUGCAUCUUCUUUCAAUUCCAUAUUCUUCCAACCAAAAGAAACUAACAGGUAGAUGCUUUUACUAGAUUUUGUUUUCCUCUUCCUUCCUUUUCUUCUUUCACUUGAUAUAAUAGCGUCGAUAUCUAUAAGAAUGUUUACCUCCUCUGUAAAUGAGAAUUGUGCUGAGCAUGAUGAUUUUUUCCCCCCCACAAAUCAUAACUCAUCAUAAGUAUGGCUUUUAGGGCUGUGUCGGCCACACAGUUGAUAAAAAGAACGAUUAUAUGCUUUACCAUGUAUUGUACCCCACCUCCUCUAAAAGUAUAAGCUUUUAAGCUUUUAGAUAGGGAACAACAUUUAAAUUCAUUUUCAGCACACCCCUUCAUGUGCUGCCAAGAUUCAUUUCUGCAUUAAAGGUCUUACAUGCGCACAAUUUUCAUAAAUGAGUGACAAAAAAAUUUGAAUUUUAGACCCUCCUCUUUUGUGAUACCAUGUCAAACUGUUUCACCUUAAGGUUCAAGAUUUUAGAGAGGAAAAAGUUCUUAUUUAAAAAAAUUUCUUCUAACACUAUGAAACUAAGUUUUACACAUACUUGAUAACUUUUACCUAAAUGCAGAUUUUUGGUGCUGCCUAUCUGGGACCAUUUGGGCAUUUUUUUCACAUUUUUCUCGACAAGAUUUUUAAAGGGAAGAAGGAUACAAAAACUGUUGCCAAGAAGGUACUCCACACACCCCUGUUCUCUGAUACUUUCUGUCAUCACUUGCUGCUUUUUUAUUUUCGUAUUUUGGCAUCUUCCUUGUCAAAAGAAGGUCCUGUAUUCACACGGGUAAAAUAAUUAGAUUGAGAAAAAGCUAGAAUUAUCAUUUAAAUGCAAUAGUAUAUUAUUUCAGGUGGUACUGGAGCAACUGACUUCUUCGCCUUGGAACAAUAUGUUUUUCAUGAUUUACUAUGGGUUUGUUGUUGAGGGUGAGUCUUUCUUGCACCUUCUCAACCUGUAAAUUAUAUCAGCCAAUUAUGAACAAUAAACAAAAAUGGAGAAAAGUAGGUUCUUUUCUGGACAAUCUUAGUCAUUGUUUCCACUUUCUUGAAAAUCACAUUGUUCGAGAAUUACACUUAUAUGGCGAAAUAUUUAUAAUCUGUAUCAUGAUUAAUUCCUGAUUUUGUAUUCUGGAGCAAGGUUCAAUAUCUUAUUUCUGGUUUCGUCUUCAGUAGCUGUCAUUGAAGCUUUGUUGUAAUUAGUUAUCCCUCGAAUUAUUAUUGAAUUUUGUUUGGAAUAAGCAUAUAAGUUUUUUCACUUAACUGUUUUCAGUUAAAUCUGACCUAAAUAGAAUAACAAGACAAAUGGAUUUUGCUUACUCUACUAUUACAAUAUGAACAGGAAGACCCUGGAUCCAUGUGAAAUCCAAAAUAGAGAAGGAAUAUCCCACUGUGCAGUAUACAUCAUGGACAGUACGUGAUAUAAUCUCAUUUUACCUUUCGUGCUUAAAAGUUGUCGCCCUGUGAUCGAGUAAGGAGGAAAAAAAUGUGACUAUUAUAUUGGAUGAAUAAUUUGCAGUUCUGGCCAGUUGUUGGAUGGGUAAAUCACCAAUAUGUACCACUUCAGUUCCGGGUUAUAGUCCAAAGUGUUGUUGCAUGUUUCUGGUAUGUUGUUUUCUCCCACUUGGAAUUUUUCACGUUACAUUCUAGAGAACAAGUUUAUCCUUGAUUUCACUUCUAUUACGACUAGAGUAACUUUGGAUUUGCAAUAUCAGUUUUUAUUUCAUUCCUUUCAUUGAUUUUCCAGGGGAAUAUUUUUGAACCUGCGAGCAAGGUCUAUGCCGCUAAAAAAAGGUUAAUGAAGUCGUGAGAAAGGAAUUUGCAACAAGUACGAUUAUGUAGUCUCUGGACACUUGACUUUGCCUCUCUUAACUUGUAUUUUUCUUGAGCAGUUUAGACGUAAAAUCUGAAUGUCGAUGCUAUUGCGUAUCUGUAAGCACUUUAUUAUGCCGAACUAUUUAUUUAUCCAAGCUGUGGUAGUAAUGGCUUUUUCGAGAAUAGUCUUUUUUAUUUUUUGCCUCAGAAAAGAAAUGGUCCUAUAAUUUGCAAUAGUUUGGCCUUCAGGGAUUGAAUUUAUGUCCUGAUGAUAUUCAAUUUGUCACUGUCCAUGAUGUGAAAAGGGUAAAACCAAUAAAGUUACUUUUAAGCAACUUAUUUCGUCGAUGGUUUUAGAAGUUACUCUUUGAUUUUUAGUUCUUUUUUAAAAGUAAAUUUACUUUGGACAAAAGUAUGUUUACUCUUUUUAGGCCCAACCAAACAUGAUCUGGAGUUGUCACACUAGCAUUCACCUGACUAUUGCAAUCCAAAUGAAGCAUUCCUCUUCUUAGUCAAGGAUUCUUUUUAUUUUAAAAAGAAGUAUAAACCAAGUAAUCUAUAAUAUAUUAAGAGUCCCAUACC
rnacentral:lncRNA from 1 species